AUGCCUGCCUCUCAAUAACCCAACCACACGACGCGGCGAAAAAGGGAUAAACCCCAAAAUUCUUCCUGUUCUACCCAAUUACCCGAAUCAUUUUUCUAUGCUUUCCUUCUAAUUUCUUCCUUUAUCCUUUUGCUUUCCUCCUAAUUACGCUAUCUAAUCUCAUCGGACUUCGAGAAUUUUGCGAUGGUGAAAUCCGCGGGGGAGCGGCAGGGAUCUUCGGUGGCGCCUUUUCUGAAGAAAUUGUACGAGAUGGUCGACGAUGAGGCAACCAAUUCCAUUAUCUCGUGGAGUCCGAGGGAUGAUAGCUUUACGAUUCUGGACAUGACUCAUUUCUCUGUCCACUUGCUUCCCAAGUACUUUAAGCACAGUAAUUUCUCUAGCUUUAUGCGGCAGCUCAACAUCUAUGGUUUUCGGAAAAUUGAGACAGAUUGCUGGGAAUUUGCAACUGAUGGAUUCGUUAAAGGACAAAAACAUCUGUUGAAGAACAUCUACCGAAGGAAAAACAUACAGGGCACAGAUCAGCGUAGAGCGUCACAGCCCCAAGACAAUUCUGAGGGACAAGGUGAACUACAUGAUUAUACAGGGCUGUGGAAGGAAGUUGAGAAUCUUAAAAUAGACAAAAAUGGUGUAAUGCAGGAAUUGGUUAAACUUAGGCAGCAGCAGGAAACUUCAGAGAGCAAGAUGCUCCUAUUGAGAGACCGCCUUCAAGGUAUGGAAAAGAAUCAACAGCAGAUGCUAUCAUUCUUAGUAAUGGCAGUGCAAAGCCCUGGAUUUUUGGUUCAGUUUCUUCAACCAAAAGAGAAGAAUUGGCGCAUGGCUGAUGCUGGCAAUAUGUUAGAACAAAUUCCAGAUGAUAAUCAAGUACCUUCAAAUGGUUUGAUAGUCAGGUAUCAACGUCCAAUAGAUGAACUGCCAGCACCUCUACUUCCACCAGUGUCGGGUCUGGGGAAACAACAAGAAUCUGAUCCAUUCCCUGAUGGAAUGAAGGACUUUUUCCUUAAUUCCGACUUCAUGAAAGUACUUAUGGAUGAAAAGUUAGACAAUCACAGCCAAUUUGUUCUACCAGAUGUACAGGAUGUCGCAUGGGAGCAGCUUCUUUUAGCGAGCACUGUUUCUUGUAAUUCAGAUAAUGUUAGAAAAGUUGACGACGAACGGGAGCCUAUGGACCAUGAGGACCAUGAACUGGAUAUGGAAACAAUUGAUACUCGAACUCAUGAAGAGAAUCUGCAAGAUUUCGAACUUCUAAUCAAACAAAUGGAGAAAGGUGAAAAUUUCGGGUUGCAACCAAGGUUGGAUGAAUCGUAUAUCGAGAAAUCAAAUACUGUUAAUCUUAUGGAACUUAUGGCAUCUGAUCAAGAAAUCCUAUAUGAAACACCGGCGAAGAUGCAAGGCCAUUAAAAGAAUUAUAUGUUUUUCUGGCGGGUUUAUGUUUCUUCAUGGAUUUAAAAUCUCAAAGAUCAGUACAAGUUUCUUUUGUCUUCACCAUCCAUACCAAGUAACCAUUGGUUGGCUAUGAAGUUAUGGUGAUAAGCUGCUGCUGCUAUUUCAAUGUCUUGAGCAGAGUAUUGAAUUUCAAACAGGUUUAGGAAUUUCGGCCAUCUUUUUCUUGGUGAUAACCUCAAGGUUCGUAUACACGACACUGGAAGCACGUGCCUCUAAUCCAAGGAGAAUGCUCCAUUGCAGUACCUGUAGAGCCCAAAUACAAAAUAACUUCUCAGUUUGUAGGCAAAGACAGAGAUUUUUCAUUUUUUUGGCAAAAAUCCUCUUUGUGCAGCUUCUUGACAUAGGCCAAGUAAACUUUUAUGUAACUACUCUCUUUGCAAUGUUCUGACCAAGCUCGUUUGCCUUAGGGGUGGCUCCAGUAUUUUUCAUCCAUCUUAUGACAUAUUCCAUUUCUCUUAGUAAAAUAAGGGCCCUUUCAUCAUCCGUCAAUCAAUAGAAAAUGACUUCAACUAUUCUCA